ensembl:lncRNA
AUGUCGGAGGAAGACCCAAGAAACGGAGCUGGAAGACGCCAGGCUGACUUGCUACCCGCGACCCCAGCAAAGCCUUCCCGAGGCGGACCAACCGCAUGCCAAAUCCACGCAAACGUUGCAGAAAAGCGCCAAGCCCUGGAGCUUAGUCUGGAGCGCUUGCCAAAGCCCGGCCGUCAGCUCUUUGCAGGGAAGCAGCCCCGGAUGGCUGGAGCUGCUCCUCGGGGCAGGGACCAUCCGUCCCGGAAUGCGCGAGAAGACCUGGCACGCUGCAAACGCUGCCGCAAGGAUGCGGCGUUAACGGGAGGCGGAUACUGCCCAAAGCACCCGUCAGCCGUCAGCGCAGGCGGGGGCACGUCUGCAGCGAGAUGCAGCUUGCGAUGGGGAGAGGGAAAGCCGGGGGACAGCCGUCCACGAGCUCCAUCCUCUGCUCCCCGGCGUCAGGCCUGUCUCCCGAUGGACCACAGCGACUGCGGGAGCUGCUGCCCUGGGGCACGAGGAUGCCCCGCGCCGAGGGAACGGCACUGGCCUGGCAAUCGGAUGCAGCAGUGGCCGCCACGGCGAGCGCAGAUGCAGCGAGGCCGCGCGCCUGCGUGGGGGCUCCGGGGCUGGGAGACGGCGGUGCCAGCAGGGCAGAGCAAUGCCCGGCCGCCGCGCUCUGCACGGAGCAGAGCUCGGAGCGGCCUUCGGGGCCGGCGCACUGCACGUCCAGCAGCUCCCCAAGUCCCAUUUCAACGUGCUCCAAGGUUCGUGACGUUCCCGACAGCCGCGCAGUGCUCGCGGCCCCUCCUGCAAUGCGCCGUGCGACAUCUCCCUCCAGCUCUGCAAGCCCGGGAUGACGCCUCCGGAGACCGCAGGGACUGCCGGCUAUCCGGCUCCCGGCCGCUUCCCCGGAGCCGACCGGCCCCGGCUACGCCUCGCGGGCUGGCCCCACCGUGCCCCCCCGCUGCCYGUCCCGGCUCCGGAGCACCCGGCGCUCGCCACCACCGUGGGAAGCGCGUCAGGCCUCCCAGGCAUCGGCGGCAAUUGCGAGCGCAGAGCCUCGCUGCACCGCCGGCAAAAGGGCAGGUUCCCUCCCCGGCCGGCAUCCCAGGCGCUGCCGGCCCCGCAGCACGCGCUCGGCCGUUUAAAAGCUGCAAUAAAACCUUCGCGCCGGCACGCGCCGUCCUGCCCUCCUCGGACCUCAGCACCCCCGGCUCCCACGCAGCUGUAACCGCUCUGCUUGCACGGACACGAAUGCCCGCAAGAGCCUCCUGCAGGUUUCCCUGCACCCCUUUCCCACGGGUCAAACUSCAAGGACCAUCGCGGUCCGGCAGCACUGGGGGAGGCAGCUCAAGGAGCCACUCGGAGGUAAAGCAGGCUGGAUUACAGAGGAAGGCGACCCGAAAGCCGGGACCCGACCGAGCUGCGGACCACGCUCUGCCCUUUGCGCCGCGGAGCCAAAGCUCCGGUAAAGCGGCGUCGGCCGCUCGUCCGUAAGCGCGGCAUGGGAAACAACGUGCCCACAGGUUUACCAACAUCCGCAGCGCAGCCGUCCAAGGCCAUUACCCUAGAACCAAUAUUUACAAACACUUCACUCUUACAUUAACAUAGGCAAAUGCCUUUAUGUGAAUUUAAUGGAAGCUUCUCCUCCCUACCAGGCUAACGGAAACAAAAAACAACACACUCCCUCCAAUGCAUCUUUGCAACGAUUUGAAGAAGAAAAAAAAAAAGUUAAAAAAAAAAACCUCUUUGAUCUCAGCAGCCCAUUUGUUUAGUCCCACGCCGGGAUUUAAUUGAGAAGGGAUGUCCUUGAAUAAAUGCAGAAACGUCCUCGCUCCCCA